AUUGGUGUUUGGAUUCUGAGCGCUGCUGGCUUCGGCCUAGCUCGUUCGUAAUACAUUAGCAUCCCUAAUACAAGUUUGGAUUGACUUGGCGUAAUAGACUAUUCGCUAAGGAUUCGGUGGAAACAUCGAGCCAGCUUAAUUAAGGAAGCUCCUAAUUUAAAAGUCUACCUUUUGAUUAGAUCUCAAAUCAGGCAGGAUUACCCGCUGAACUUAAGCAUAUCAAUAAGCGGAGGAAAAGAAACUAACAAGGAUUCCCCUAGUAGCGGCGAGCGAAGCGGGAAAAGCUCAAAUUUGUAAUCUGGCGCCUUCGGCGUCCGAGUUGUAAUCUCGAGAAGUGUUUUCCGUGAUAGACCGCAUACAAGUCUCUUGGAACAGAGCGUCAUAGUGGUGAGAACCCAGUACACGAUGCGGAUGCCUAUUACUUUGUGAUACACUUUCGAAGAGUCGAGUUGUUUGGGAAUGCAGCUCAAAUUGGGUGGUAAAUUCCAUCUAAAGCUAAAUAUUGGCGAGAGACCGAUAGCGAACAAGUACCGUGAGGGAAAGAUGAAAAGCACUUUGGAAAGAGAGUUAACAGUACGUGAAAUUGUUGGAAGGGAAACACAUGCAGUGAUACUUGCUAUUCGGGGCAACUCGAUUGGCAGGCCCGCAUCAGUUUUUCGGGGCGGAAAAUCAUAGAGAGAAGGUAGCAGUCUCGGCUGUGUUAUAGCUCUUUAUUGGAUUCGCCCUGGGGGACUGAGGAACGCAGCGUGCUUUUUGCAUGAGCUUCGGCU
rnacentral:rRNA from 1 species